CAGGAAGCAGCCAGACAACGACAAUCGGCCCUUCUCACGUCGGCACUGGACAGAAAUACUAACACAGACCUGUUUGGAGUUUUUGAGAGAGAAUGGUUCAUUGGAAGGAAGUGGGUUGUAUUCUGCUGGUUGGAAUACUAGGGAUCUCCUUAGCUGAUGACCAGUUUACGUGCUGUAUGAAGGGCAUCAAAGUCGUACGAGGAGAGGCAUUAUGCCCCGCCCCAUGUUGUCCAGGUUACAGAGAACAUCUGGCCACGCCUCCUUUUCUAGGAGAGGUCGUGUAUUGUAAGAAAAAACAGGAAAAUCCCAUUGAGCCCCCACUUAUCGUGUAC